UAUGUGCGCGCAUGCGCACAACACAUAAAGGGAAGCAAAGCGCAUCCGGCUGUGAUUUAAUGCUACUCCGUUGUCAUAUUUGCAGGAAAAUAGCUUCGGUGAAGUCUGCUGUCAAGUUACUGGACACGUGGUAUUUGCACAACACUUCUGAAUCCGCAGCUUCGGUGUUUUAAGGCUGUUUCGAUAUGGAGAAGAAGUGGGAAGAGAUUUACGCGUUUAUUUCUGUGGGCUCCUACCCUUCAGGAUAUGACAAGGCUCAGAGGCAAAACCUCAGAAGAUAUGCCUCAAAAUUCCAACAAAAGGAUGGAGAACUCUUUGUUGGAACCAGAAAAGUAGUAAAAACCAUGGAUGAUGCCAGGAAGAUAUUUCAUGAGUUUCAUUCAUCUCCAAUUGGAGGACACACUGGCACACACAAAACGCUAAAUGCAGUGUGUUCCAGAUUUUACUGGUUUGGUAUGACAGUUGACAUUAAAACAUGGAUUCUGGAAUGUGACCAGUGUCAAAAAGUUGGGAAACCACUGACUGCUGUGCAACCGUUGCAGUGUAUUCAGGUGUCUGAAGUGUGGGAACUUAUUGGUAUAGAUCUUACUGGACCUCUUCCUAAAACGUCAAGCGGCUUUCCAGUAUAUACUGACUGCAACUGACUACUUUUCAAAAUGGGUUGAAGCUUUCCCAUUAAAAACGAAAUCUGCAUCUGAGGUAGCCCAGCACUUGUGCUCCAUUAUAUAUAUAGACAUGGCUGCCCCAAAAGGAUUUUGUCAGACCAAGGCAGAGAGUUUGUGAAUGAACUCAACUCUGAUCUUUGCAAGUUAUUGCAAAUUGAAAGAAGUGUCACAGCAGCAUACCAUCCACAGACCAAUGGUCUAGAUGAAAAGACCAAUGACAACAUAAAAAGAGCCCUCCGAAAACUGGUGAAUGACCAGCAGAAUAACUGGGAUCUGUAUCUAGAUCCCACCCUGUUUUCACUGCGGUCAAAAGUACACACCACAACAAAAUACUCACCUUUUUUUCUGAUGUAUGGAAGAGAGGCAGUAUUUCCAUCAGAAGUGCCUGCUCAAGUGCCGUGAAGUGGCUUUGGGCUGCAAAAGACACCGGGCGUGUGGAGACAGUCGUUGGGCCAUACAAAUUGUAUGACUCUUCUUUUCGCACACUGGAGGACAGUGGGUGGCUUUCUGAUGAGGUAAGUGAAGUAAUCAUUUUUGGUCCUAGUGGUGGUC